UGGGGAAUUUUGGACAAUGGGCGAAAGCCUGAUCCAGCAAUGCCGCGUGUGUGAAGAAGGCCUUCGGGUUGUAAAGCACUUUUGUCCGGAAAGAAAUCCUUGGCUCUAAUACAGUCGGGGGAUGACGGUACCGGAAGAAUAAGCACCGGCUAACUACGUGCCAGCAGCCGCGGUAAUACGUAGGGUGCAAGCGUUAAUCGGAAUUACUGGGCGUAAAGCGUGCGCAGGCGGUUUGCUAAGACCGAUGUGAAAUCCCCGGGCUCAACCUGGGAACUGCAUUGGUGACUGGCAGGCUAGAGUAUGGCAGAGGGGGGUAGAAUUCCACGUGUAGCAGUGAAAUGCGUAGAGAUGUGGAGGAAUACCGAUGGCGAAGGCAGCCCCCUGGGGCCAAUACUGACGCUCAUGCACGAAAAGCGUGGGGGAGCAAAACAGGAUUAGAUACCCUGGUAGUCCACGCCCUAAACGAUGUCAACUAGUUGUUGGGGAUUCAUUUCCUUAGUAACGUAGCUAACGCGUGAAGUUGACCGCCUGGGGGAGUACGGUCGCAAGAUUAAAACUCAAAUGAAUUGACGGGGUCAUAGCUG
rnacentral:rRNA from 1 species